rnacentral:lncRNA from 1 species
GUUUUGCUGUCCACAACUUUAUAAUUGGACUCUAAACAAAACUACUUAAUCUAUCUUUUAAACAACUCAAACCAUUUAUUAAAUUUUUCCAUAAGAAACUUCAAGCGAUUCUUUAAAUGAGCCUUAUUCAAAUCUAUGCUAAUUUUUUCACUUAUUUCUUUAAUCAUUUAAGCAUAAGUAGUGGAUGUGAAAUUUUCAUGAG